CGGGGCGUAGCGUAGCCUGGUAGCGCGCCUGCUUUGGGAGCAGGAUGUCGGGAGUUCAAAUCUCUCCGCCCCGACCA
rnacentral:tRNA from 1 species